GACGAACGCUGGCGGCGUGCUUAACGCAUGCAAGUCGAACGGAAAGGCCCUGCUUUUGUGGGGUGCUCGAGUGGCGAACGGGUGAGUAACACGUGAGUAACCUGCCCUUGACUUUGGGAUAACUUCAGGAAACUGGGGCUAAUACCGGAUAGGAGCUCCUGCUGCAUGGUGGGGGUUGGAAAGUUUCGGCGGUUGGGGAUGGACUCGCGGCUUGUCAGCUUGUUGGUGGGGUAGUGGCUUACCAAGGCUUUGACGGGUAGCCGGCCUGAGAGGGUGACCGGCCACAUUGGGACUGAGAUACGGCCCAGACUCCUACGGGAGGCAGCAGUGGGGAAUAUUGCACAAUGGGCGGAAGCCUGAUGCAGCAACGCCGCGUGCGGGAUGACGGCCUUCGGGUUGUAAACCGCUUUCGCCUGUGACGAAGCGUGAGUGACGGUAAUGGGUAAAGAAGCACCGGCUAACUACGUG
rnacentral:rRNA from 1 species